UGGGGAAUUUUGCACAAUGGGGGAAACCCUGAUGCAGCGACGCCGCGUGAUUUAGAAGGCCUUCGGGUUGUAAAAAUCUUUUCUAUGGGAAGAAAAUGACAGUACCAUAGGAAUAAGGACCGGCUAAUUACGUUCCAGCAGCCGCGGUAAUACGUAAGGUCCGAGCGUUGUCCGGAAUCAUUGGGCGUAAAGGGUACGUAGGCGGGUAAGCAAGUUAGAAGCGAAAUCCUAUAGCUCAACUAUAGUAAGCUUUUAAAACUGCUCAUCUUGAGGUAUGGAAGGGAAAGUGGAAUUCCUAGUGUAGCGGUGAAAUGCGCAGAUAUUAGGAGGAAUACCGGUGGCGAAGGCGACUUUCUGGCCAUAACCUGACGCUGAGGUACGAAAGCGUGGGUAGCAAACAGG
rnacentral:rRNA from 1 species